CGUACAGUCAGUGAAUCAUCGAAUCUUUGAACGCAACACGCACUUUCUAUGCACUUGUGGUAUAGGAAGUAUAUUUGUUUGAGUGUCACAUAUGAUAACAAUCGACCUUUUUGUUGUUCAAUCAACAAGAGAGAUCGGCAUUUGACAGUUUUCAUAAGAAAUCUGUUUAAAUACAGCGUACUGUUGCUUACUGAUUGCCAGUCCACAAUUGAAUUGUACAGUUAAUGUGUAAUAAUAUUUGCUGUUCAUAUAUGGAUUGACUAUUCAUCAGACAGUAUCUAUCUUGUAAUGGAUCUUAACAGAUCGUUAAAAAGAAUUUUUCAUGACAUCAAAUCAAGUAAGGUUACCCGCUGAAUUUAAGCAUAUCAAUAAGCGGAGG
rnacentral:rRNA from 1 species